GAUAGCACUGAAGAGCUUUAGAGUAGAAAUCAGAGAAGAGUAAUGCUUUGUCCUGGGCUGCACUGGUUAGGCAGAAGGUGAGUGGAAAACAGAACAGCUUGACUGAAUAAUGAUGGGAAGAAACUGGAGGAGGGAGGCCAGAGACUGGACAAAUGAAUCUAGCUACAGUGGCUUGAUGCCUCUGUGGGCAUCCAGGUGGGCUAACCCAGGCACGGUGCACCCAGGAGCAAAUAUGUGUCAGUCAAAGACAUAGACAGGAAAUCCAUCACUCUAAUGGGUAUAUGGGGUAGUGGAAAUUCACAUGAUGCCAUGAAGUAAGGCAGAGUACCAUAGCAGGCCUGGUCAACCUAGUAGCUAAAUCUGGAAUAGAAGUUGAUGUCAGAACCUGAGAAUUGAAGGAAGCUGGGGAAAAAAGACUCUUAUAUCAGGAUUGUGUGUUUCACAACACAUGAGGCUAGCCAGAAUUAGUCAAGCCCCUUCUGAAUUUCAGCUUUUAAAGUCAGUCUGUGAAGCAAUCAACUUGAGAUCACUCCCCCUUUUAUUUUUUAGUUUUUUGCUUUUUUUUUUUUAGGACUGCCUUCAUGGCAUAUGGAAGUUCCCAGGGUAGGGGUCUAAUCAGAGCUGUAGCUGCCAGCCUAUACCACAGCCACAGCAACACCAGAUCCCAGCCAUGUCUGUGACCUACACCACAGCUCCUGGCAAUGCCAGAUCCUUAACCCACUGAGCAAGGCCAGGGAUGGAACCCCCUGUCCUCAUGGAUCCUAGUCGUGUUUAUUACUGCUGAGCCUCCCCCUUUUAAAACCUCCUUUUUCUUUGAUUCCUUCCAUCUCUGAACUUUUGACUCCAUAACGUUAUCUCUUAUUUUUACAUAUAUUCUCUUUAGAUUUAUUUUUGUUUUUCCCCUUCCUAUGCAUGGAUCUUGGCUCUACGAACGUAUGCUAUGUACUCUAUAAAAUACACCUCUGGUUUUCCCAAGCUCCCUCUGUCCCAUAUCCUCUAGCACUGCUCUUUGCUCCACAGACCAGGUAAGUUCUUCUUUUCAAGUGACUACUGACUGAUGUAGCCUUGGUCUCAAUUAGCACAGUCUUCACUCUGGCCACAAAACCAGCAACCACUUAAGUACUGGCCCUCUCAUUGGGUAAAGAUGCAGGCAUUGUAAUAUGAACCAAUCAAACUGAGGAAGAGGACACAGUAUUAUUCCAAGUGUAAAACAUAGAUAAACUGAGGCAAAAGCCCCCCAUUUUAUAGCCUGGACCAAAUCAGCAUGCAAUCAAUGCCUCCACUCAGAAGCCUCAUGAUCUGGCACUGGUUUUAUGAGUGAUAUGAUAACUUGUAGGUCACACUAACUAGCAGUGCUGCGGGUUCUGGUCAGCUUCUACACGAGCCAUCUGGGCCAGCAGCUGGUGAUCAUCAGUGACCCUGUCUCCAGUGGAGAAUAUGAAAUCAACUGACUUCUAGGGUGAGGAAAACAUAUACACACAUGACAGCAUAGUGCAUGAAAGGGAAAAUAGUGUACAAUACUUGAAAGGAAGAAUGAUGUAUAUAGCAGGAACAUCUUGAGAACAGAUACUGACCAUUAGACAUAAUGAGAGUCAGUAAACUUCUUGCCACCCACGUAAGAACAAGAGAGCCACUGGGAACACAGGACUAAAAUAUUGGCUCAGCCACUUCUUGGCUGAAGAAUUAUUACCAACUCCCUAUUGAGGAAGAAUUGGUAAUAAAUACUAAACUCAUACACCUGUACUGUUAAGUUUAACUCAUAAUUCAUACAUAACUUAAUCUAGUUAAUAUUUUAUAAGUUUAUUCACACAAUGAUCAAAUUAUUCCUAAAGAAUGUUCUGGAUUUAAAACCCAAUUAAAGGUCCCUAUCCAGGUGUUGAGAAAAGCUUCCAAUUAUUUUAUCAAUGGACCAGUGCCUCAAAAAAAAAUCUAAAUUAAUUGUUAAUUGAGCUUUUUACAUGUAUUCCUUCUUGGGGGAAAAAAAAACAGUGGAGACAGUGAGAAGAGGAUUUCAUGAUUGUUUUACCCUAGAAAAUUUUAAUAACAGAUAAAAAUAGGAGGAGGUCAGUUUUUUAGAAGUGGUGAUUAAUAGUUAAUUCCCACUUUGACACAUGAACACUGAGUACCUUUUCCUGAAUCCACUCAUAAGUGUUUUUUAAACCUGAUUUGUUGGAUAACAAGGAAUGUUUUUAGUGGCAAUAUUAUACAUUUAUGAAAUAAAUGUGGAUUCAAUUAAUACGCUAUAUUCAUACUCAGUCUGUCAAAUUCCUAUUUUUAAACAAUGGAGUUCACUGAGCAAGCUAAUUUAAUGCCUUACUAAAAAGAAAAAAGAAUGGCCAUUCUCUCUAGUCAAAGAUACAUGUGGAUAGAAUUUAAGCAAGUGAGUCUUUUCUCUGUGGAAUACAAAAAUAUAACUGAGUAUAUAUUUUAAAUACAUACACACAAUGGAAGAAAUCAAACUAAAUGUGUGUGUUUAACCUCUUCAACUUGCUGAAUAUUGGAUGUGGUAAGAUUGGGUAUGACAGUCAAGUAGCUAAGUUGAAAGUUUUCUCUUUGUGUAUGUUAUUUUUACCCUUCUCUGUUCAUAAUCUAAAUAGAAACAGAUGACUUCUUCAGCAGUAUUUAGCCAUUUUUCUUCAAAAAAAUAUGUCAGUUUCACAAAGAUGAAUUGAAUGAUUUAUUAUGCCAAUAAUCAAUCCUUAAAAAACAAAGCUGGAAAAAUUAAACCAUGUUUGCUACUGAAUGAUCAGUUAUAUCUACUUCUCUUUCUUGUUUCACAUAUGAUCAUCAUUUGGAAUAAUAACCAUAUACCCAAAAAAAUGAGGCAAAAAGGAGUGCAUUAUCAUAUUUUAUAUUGUAUAUUUAAUACAUUUACUUUUGUGCAACAACAGUUUAACAAGUUUCUCCUAACAAUGGAGAUUAAUAGAAAUGCUAUAAUUGUCAUUCUUUAUUUAUGCCAAACAGCCAAGAAAAGUUCUUGAUUCUCAAGAAAGAUUUUGUGAGAACGUUGUAGGAAUUUGUACUGUCUUGUACUUUUAUCCCUAUCAGGUAGAUUGGAAACAAUGGACAUAUCAUAGCCUUCAUAUAACGUUCUGUUCUCAUCUAGAAUCUCAGCUUAAUCAUCAGUGAUGCCCAGAAAUCAUUUUAGGCAAAAUUAUGAAGUAGAAAACUAGCUUUUCUACCUCCCUUGCCUAUAUCAUUUUAGCAUUUUUUUCUCUCUUUUCAUUUCUUUAGAACCCAUUACCAUUAAAUGGUUCCAUCCUGAAGUCAAUUAAAUAGCCUAUCUCAUUCAAAAAUUAAUUGCAUUCACACUCUUUUGAUGAGAAAAAGCUGAUUUCAUGGGAUAACUUAUAUGAUGAAAAUUCAGGCACUAUGGAUUAUGGAAAGGGAAUAUCUUGAAGAGAUCUCCUUAGUAUCGCUGUAAAAAACAUAUCUUGCUUUGCCCUUAAGACAUUUCUUAAAAGUGUGUAUGGGGGGGAAGGGGGGACUAACUUACCAAAUCCUGUAAACACACUCAUACAUAUCCAAAGGGAUUUAUCUUAUACAUAUCUGCCAUAAUUUUGAGUGUUGAAUGAAUAAAUUAUCAUACUCAGAUAUGAGGGUAUAUUCACUUACAUACAUAUAUAUAAAAUUUGCGUGAGAAAUAUUCAUAGCUAAUAAUUGCUUGUAUGUUUUAAACUGUUGUAUUGCAUUCACCAGAGGAUAGUUUAAAAAUGCCAAUCUGAUUUAUUUUUAAAUGCAAGAAAUGACAGCUGUAAUUUGUGAGGACUGACAGCCAGGACUAGGCAAUAGCGUUUAAACCAAUGAGAAAUCAGAAUAUUUGACAACUGUUCUUCCAAGACUCAAAUUUUCCUGUGGUGCAGGACCCUGACAAACAACCGUUAGUGAACCGUGGUCCUAUGAAAAUCAAUUUAUGAUCACUUAAAUUUUAGGACAUGCCAAUACUUACCAGAAUAGGCUUUAAAAGCUGUAUAACUUUCAUCAGGAAAAAAAAAAUCUGCAAAAGAAUAUCUGAAGCUAUAACUACAUGAUUAAUUUUUUUGCCACUAGAAAUAUCAAUCACUAAAUACCAAACAUUUUCCUCAGAGCUACUAGAGACAUUAAAUCAAUUUGUAAAAUGCCAACAAGACAUUGCACAAUACAUUUCCUGCUCUGUCAAAGAGCAUUCUCCAGAAUAUUCACACUGUAGAAUGUUACAGCCUACCAAGUAUGCCACCAUCCUAGCAAGCAAUGAGUCUCCAUCUAUAAAAGUUAAGAAUUUGUUUAAAUCUGAAAGUUUUCCAACUACGGCAAGGAAGUUACCAGCCUUGAAAAAUGCAGAGAAUCUGAGUUUUGCAGUACGUUGGCGUAUUAGUGGUCCAGUGGUCCGCAUCAUUGAAUAAGAAGUGUUGAGGGUAAGGGGAGAAACAAAACAGGCAGGAGAGAUCAAAUAACCAAGAUCAGCCUUUCGGAAAUCCCCAAAUAAACUAUUUCCCCUCAUAUUUUAUUCCCACUGUCCUUCUGAUACCCUUCUCACUCUGGUACCCUUCUUCCUCACUUCCUAGAAUCAAAAAUAUAUUUUGUCCCACAGUUUUCUCUAUCCUUUGCUCUUGUAUUAAAACUAACCUCUUUCCUACCCUGUAUUCUACAAAGCUAUAUUCUUUGGAAGAUACUUCCUUUCCUUGACUUAAAUAUUUAAAAAAUAUCUCCUACCACCAAGUGAUGUGAUAGGGGCUAGUGAUAUAGAGAGGAAGGUGGAAACAGCUCCUUGAUGAUGGGAGCAUUCCCAUCUAGAUGAAAAUAUUCCUGAAAAGGGGCUAAAAAUACAUUAUUUGUAAGGUCUACCUGCUUUUGCAUUGUAAUAGCUUAUUCCUAUGUAGAACAAAUAACCUGAAAAAGGUAAUUUUAAUGGGAAGAAUUUGAGAUACUGUGUGGGGAGCAGGGAGGUAAUUUGGGUGAGAAAAAGAAGAUAAAAUAGCCUUUAAAUAACAGUCAUAGAACGUGUUGGCUCCUUCAACGUUGUUUUCAUGAAAAAGCAACACAAUUACUAAGUACAUAUCAUGCCUGCUAAGUAUUAAAAUUAUGUGAUCACUCUGGAAUAGUAACAUAUGUUUCUCCUACAGUGGUAAAGUCAGUUUUGUUGUCUUGAAAAUUAAGUCUCAACUGAAAAGUGAGGUCACUCCCAUUAUUAGUCACCUCAGUAAGGGCCAAGUGAAGGAACAUCCAAAGUUAAAGAAUUGUACUUCUCAGACAGGUGAUGUUGCCCUCCAAGAGACUUUUGACAAUGUCUGGAAAUGUUUUUGCUUGUUAAACCCAGGGUAAGUGCUAAUGGCAUAUAGUGGAGAGAGAGCAGGAUCUGCUGCAAAACUUUCUACAAUACGCAAGACAGUACCCGCAACAAAGAACUAUCCAGCCCCAAUACCCAAAUAAAGGGUAUUGUGGCAUCUCUUUUCCUAAUGUUAUUAUCACUUUUCUAUCCUAAUAUUCUUGAUCCUACCACCAAUGGACUAGGGGCAAGCUUACCACGACAGGAUUAAAAAUGUUAUAUUGUCACAACCUUAUCUAAAAGCAUUCAAUGAAUUUCUCAAACUUAGGUAAGCAUUAAAAUAGCUCAGAUAAUUUUUAAAAUAUUUAUUCCUAAGUCUGCUUCCAGGGAAGGAGCCAGGAAUCUUAGUUUUUCAGGUUGGAGAAACAUACGAAAGGAAACACCUGCCCGUUGGAUAACACCCAGUUUCUUUAACUUUGGUACAAUCCUCCACUAUGAUCCAAUCCAUGCCUGUUUCUUCUGAUACAUGUAUCGUCCUUCUCCUCUCAUAACCUAAAGUCCAGCUAUUUUGAUCUACUUGAAAUUCACUGAAACACUGUACCAUUCAUGUUUCUUCUGCCUAGAUCCUCUUUCCUUUGUCCUACUGGUGAAGGUGAAUAACAAGUAUUAUGCUGUUAUGUUGAGUGGCUAUUCAAAAAGAAAGAAAAAAUUUCCCUGAUUUGUAGCAUUUGCCAAUUUUUGUAUUAAAAAAUAUUCCCACAAUGGUCAGUUUCAAACUACCAUUGCAACAUUUCUGAAAACUGAGCUGGAAAAAAUAUGCACCAUCAGCUCUUGAGAACUGGUAUGAGCUAAUCCCCACAAAAUGUUGCUGUUAAUGUUAACUUUUACCUUCCUGGAAGCCUUUUGCAAUAACUCAAGACUUAUCUUUUGCAAUCUAAUAUUGCAAUUAUUCCUCCUUUCACUAGUAUUUCUAAUAUGCAUAACUGUGAGUUCUUUGAGAAGCAGGUCUAUGGUUUUAGUUAGUGUAUAUUUUAACUCAAAUGUUUCUGUACUUAACAUUUUUUGGGGGUAUGUUUUCCUCUUAUAUUCUUACUUAUUAAAUAAAGUGUUAAAAUCUUGUGUUUUCUAAGUUUUGGCUUCAGUUAUAUUAUAGUAAAUCAAACCAAAGGGUUUUUGUUUAUGUGCAAGCCAAAAUAUUAAAGGAGGGGGAGUAUCUUCUGGGAGCCAGCAGAAACCCUAAUAAAAGGGAUAUGCGACCUUGGGAAGUUAACUUUGGGCUACUUUUCAGUAAUGGGGGUUCUCCUCCAAAAUAUCCAGGUACUGGGUUAUUUCAGUCAGAGUAAAUUAUAUUUUCUUAUAUCAUAUGUUAGCAUAUGGUCAACUUUGCUGAGUUGAGCUGUUUCUCCUUUUAAUUAUCAGGGACUUCUUAAUUUGAACUACUUUUUUCUCAAGAAAGAUCCCCUUAUUGCUUCACUCCUAAGUAAUUACUUUCCUGAAUUGGAAUGUAUUUUUGAAAACUGAGAUAAUGGAUAACUGCUCUAGUGCCCAGAAAAGACAGAGGAAGAUAUUUUAUGCUACCGUAAGAAAGAAUGAAACAGUCUUAAAUAGGUGGGCAGAUUAUUUCAUUUCAU
rnacentral:lncRNA from 1 species